rnacentral:snRNA from 1 species
GUGCUCACUUCAGCAGCACAUAUACAAAAACUGGAAUGAUACAGAGAUUAGCAUGGCCCGUGCACAAGGAUGACAUGCAAAUUCAUGAAGCGUUCCAUAUAUUU